CUUCCUAAACUCCCGGAAGGCAGAUCAAGAGGGUAUCCAGUUUGAAUAAAUAUCUCAGGAUUUUUUUCCAUUUCAGCAGUCAGGGCUCCAAUUGACCCAGGGUGCAGUCUAACAUCAUCAUCCAAAAAUAAUACAUACUUGCUGUCUUUGUGCAUUUUCUCUACACCAAACAACUGGUUGUGAAUUUUCUGACUACAAGUUGUUGACAAACCAGCUAUAAUAACUCUAACAUCAACAUCAUCCUUAAAUUCUGUUAUUAAGCGAGAUACAGCAUGGUAUGCAGGGUCUUCCGUACUUUCCACAACAAAUAGGAAUUCCAGAGGACCACCAUAAAGAGAUGUGAUCUGACUUCUCCAAUUAUGUA
rnacentral:misc_RNA from 1 species